GAUGAACGCUGGCGGCGUGCCUAAUACAUGCAAGUCGAGCGAACGGACGAGAAGCUUGCUUCUCUGAUGUUAGCGGCGGACGGGUGAGUAACACGUGGAUAACCUACCUAUAAGACUGGGAUAACUUCGGGAAACCGGAGCUAAUACCGGAUAAUAUUUUGAACCGCAUGGUUCAAAAGUGAAAGACGGUCUUGCUGUCACUUAUAGAUGGAUCCGCGCUGCAUUAGCUAGUUGGUAAGGUAACGGCUUACCAAGGCAACGAUGCAUAGCCGACCUGAGAGGGUGAUCGGCCACACUGGAACUGAGACACGGUCCAGACUCCUACGGGAGGCAGCAGUAGGGAAUCUUCCGCAAUGGGCGAAAGCCUGACGGAGCAACGCCGCGUGAGUGAUGAAGGUCUUCGGAUCGUAAAACUCUGUUAUUAGGGAAGAACAUAUGUGUAAGUAACUGUGCACAUCUUGACGGUACCUAAUCAGAAAGCCACGGCUAACUACGUGCCAGCAGCCGCGGUAAUACGUAGGUGGCAAGCGUUAUCCGGAAUUAUUGGGCGUAAAGCGCGCGUAGGCGGUUUUUUAAGUCUGAUGUGAAAGCCCACGGCUCAACCGUGGAGGGUCAUUGGAAACUGGAAAACUUGAGUGCAGAAGAGGAAAGUGGAAUUCCAUGUGUAGCGGUGAAAUGCGCAGAGAUAUGGAGGAACACCAGUGGCGAAGGCGACUUUCUGGUCUGUAACUGACGCUGAUGUGCGAAAGCGUGGGGAUCAAACAGGAUUAGAUACCCUGGUAGUCCACGCCGUAAACGAUGAGUGCUAAGUGUUAGGGGGUUUCCGCCCCUUAGUGCUGCAGCUAACGCAUUAAGCACUCCGCCUGGGGGGUACGACCGCAAGGUUGAAACUCAAAGGAAUUGACGGGGACCCGCACAAGCGGUGGAGCAUGUGGUUUAAUUCGAAGCAACGCGAAGAACCUUACCAAAUCUUGACAUCCUUUGACAACUCUAGAGAUAGAGCCUUCCCCUUCGGGGGACAAAGUGACAGGUGGUGCAUGGUUGUCGUCAGCUCGUGUCGUGAGAUGUUGGGUUAAGUCCCGCAACGAGCGCAACCCUUAAGCUUAGUUGCCAUCAUUAAGUUGGGCACUCUAAGUUGACUGCCGGUGACAAACCGGAGGAAGGUGGGGAUGACGUCAAAUCAUCAUGCCCCUUAUGAUUUGGGCUACACACGUGCUACAAUGGACAAUACAAAGGGCAGCGAAACCGCGAGGUCAAGCAAAUCCCAUAAAGUUGUUCUCAGUUCGGAUUGUAGUCUGCAACUCGACUACAUGAAGCUGGAAUCGCUAGUAAUCGUAGAUCAGCAUGCUACGGUGAAUACGUCCCCGGGUCU
rnacentral:rRNA from 1 species